rnacentral:lncRNA from 1 species
UCUUGCUCUUGCUCCUUCGCCUGCUUGCCAUGUGAGACUGAGUAACUGCUAGAUCCUUGGACUUCCAUUCACAGCUGCGACUGAACGAUUGUAAGGAAUUGGGCUGCCGACUUGUGAAUCACAGCACAUUAGCACUGUGAAGAAGGACAAACAGAUGAAUUUCCACUUUUUUUCCUCAGUGUGACUUUGAAGAUAUUCUCAGUAAAGAGAUAGCCUUGCAAGGGAAAUGCCAAUUGAGAGGGAGAUUGCAAGGGGAUACAGAUCAACAGUACCAAGCCCACAUCUGAGAAGCUGUACGAACAAUUACUAACUACAAAAAUAUUGGACAAGAUGGGGGUAUUUGCUCAGCACUUUAAUCCAGAGGCAUAGGAAGGUGUAUUUCCUCAAGCUGGAGGCCUGCAUCAUCUAUGAAACCGAUUCCAGGACAGCAAAAGUUACAUAUUAAGACUCUCACUCCCCCUGCAAAUAUCACCCAAGGAAACAGAAAUGACAGAAAGAACCCAUAGUUCUGCACUGAAAUUCCUACAAAGAAUUAUACAUUAACUGCAGUUCUGUAUUCAUCUUGCAGAAACAUGAAGUAUACCAGUUUAAAUUGCAACAUUAAUAAAAUUUUGCUAAAAGAGAAUGAAUUUAUAAAGAGUUACAAAUGG